rnacentral:rRNA from 1 species
CCUACGGGUGGCAGCAGUAGGGAAUAUUGCUCAAUGGGGGAAACCCUGAAGCAGCAACGCCGCGUGGAGGAUGAAGGUUUUCGGAUUGUAAACUCCUUUUGUUAGAGAAGAUAAUGACGGUAUCUAACGAAUAAGCACCGUCUAACUCCGUGCCAGCAGCCGCGGUAAUACGGCGGGUGCAAGCGUUACUCGGAAUCACUGGGCGUAAAGAGCGCGUAGGCGGGAUAGCAAGUCAGAUGUGAAAUCCUAUGGCUUAACCAUAGAACUGCAUUUGAAACUGGUAGUCUAGAGUAUGGGAGAGGUAGGUGGAAUUCGUGGUGUAGGGGUAAAAUGCGUAGAUAUCAAGAGGAAUACUCAUUGCGAAGGCGACCUGCUAGAACAUAACUGACGCUGAUGCGCGAAAGCGUGGGGAGCAAACAGGAUUAGAUACCCGAGUAGUC